rnacentral:rRNA from 1 species
UACGGGGGGGGCAAGCGUUGUUCGGAAUUACUGGACGUAAAGGGCUCGUAGGCGGCCAACUAAGUCAGACGUGAAAUCCCCAGGCUCAACCUGGGAACUGCGUCUGAUACUGGAUGGCUUGAAUCCGGGAGAGGGAUGCAGAAUUCCAGGUGUAGCGGUGAAAUGCGUAGAUAUCUGGAGGAAUACCGGUGGCGAAGGCGGCAUCCUGGACCGGCAUUGACGCUGAGGCGCGAAAGCCAGGGGAGCAAACGGG